UAAUGGAAUUUUAAUAAUGUUUUAUUCUUGUCAUUCAUUUGAAGUUCAAAUUGUUCCAAAAUUGACCAUGGGAGCCUCUUUGAUGUCCAUGACUUUCUGACUUGUCUCCAUUAGUUUUUGUGGAACAAAACUUACUUUCUGGAAGAAAAGUAUGAUCCAGGUUCACCUAUACUUUCCCUGUCCACUGGACAAACAGAUUCUCCAUGGAGAAGUUUCAGAGGGGAAUGGAAUUUAGAAACCAAAUCUGGGUGCUAGAUCCUCAAGUUUCAUCCGAUUGUGACACUGGCUUGAAGUCCAAGAUCUUGUCAUCAAAAUCAGACCCAAAUGCAGAUGAGGAUCUUGGAGUGUAGUUUCCCAGAUUUGCAAUUUGGACAAGACUCAUGGGGACAGAAUGCCUCUGAUCUAUGUGGCAUCAGCUGGGAGGGCUUGACUUUAGAUUGGAGAAUACACUUGAAGAUGGCUUACUCACAUGGCUGGUAAGUUUGUGCUGGCUUUCAGCUAAGAGCUCAGUUAGAAACCUUGGUUACUCUCUCCAAGUGGGCUUCUCCCUGGGCUAUUUGGGUUUCUUCAUGGCAAAGUAC